AUGAAUAACUCUACAGUGAACUACACCACGACUGAAGCAUUUACAAACCCCACAACUCAUUUCACUGGGAUACUGGACAGUCUGAACAUUUGUGUCUACAUAAUCAGUUUGCUAUUUGGUCUUCCCACACACUCCUAUGUGACAUGGCUCAUCAUCACAGGAACAGGACGUGGAGUUGCAUCAAAGUUCUUCAUCCUCAAUCUUUCUGUUUGUGAGAUUGGUAUCUCUCUAUAUUGUUUUGUAUAUGCAAUAUCAUAUUGGUCUUUAAGUGUCUCAACCAUUAAACUAUUUUUUGUAGGACUUACCAUCACUGGUCGUCCUCUGUUUCAGUGUCUGAUAUGUGUUGAGCGUUACCUGGCAGUGCUUCAUCCUGUAACCUUUCUGAAGUACAAACCUCUCCGAUAUAGAGUGUUCUGCUGCACUGUGGCUUGGAUAAUUUGUCUUGGCUCAUGUGUGUUCUGCAUGUAUAUUUUAGGUGAAGAUGACAUGCAUUUAUAUACAUGGUUCUUCUCACUGCAGUUUCUCUUCUACCUCUCCAUCCAGUUGUUUUGUCUUGUGGCUGUUCUCAGAGCUUUGAAGCAGUCAGGACCAGGAGAGAGAGGGGGAGAGAGAAACGAGGAAAACCACAUGAAGAGAAGAGCCUUUCAUCUCAUUCUUAUAACUAAUAUAUUUAUUCAACAGCUGUGAAUUCAGUCUACUAAACAGCAGAGAGAUGCAUGUACAUCCAGAGACUGGACAUUCACUCUUCAGGUGAUAAACUCUUAGUUCAGUGUCUUGUUUUUACAAUUCAAAAGAAGAAACAUUGUCACUAUGUUGAUUUGGGUUUUUAGAAAAAGUUAAUUGAGUAAAUAGAAAGUUGAGCUCUUUUUAUUUUUAUUGAAAAGAAGAAUAGAAACUGAGAAAUUACUUUAAAUGUUA
ensembl:lncRNA